UCGCAGCCCGCUGCUGGGCAUUUUAUUAAUGCUUUUACGAGUUAGAAGAGUUGGGAUAAUUUGCCAUCUGGAGUUUCUCUGCCUUGCUGAUCUGAGCUCAGACCUGCCAAUUUACCAGAGAUAAUUGAUAACACCCUGUAACAGCUGACUUUCUGUUCACGUGUCUACAUUUGAAGUUACUGCAUUCAGAAUGAAAGCCAUACAUCUGACCUCACAAUGAGGAAAAUGGAAGAAACGGAGAUACUUUUAGUGAAGCAGAAUAAACCACUGAACAGGAAAAAUGAGGAAGCUGUGAGUACCAGUGGAAGGAACGAGCCAGGAAGAGGGACUGGAACCAUCUCAGAAGCCAUGCCCCUCAGGCUGGAACUUGCCCUGUCUCCUCGCAGAUGAGCUACCUCUUGUGUUUAAGAAUUAAAGGAAGAUGAGCUAGGAAUCAAGAAAUACGCAGAACUGAUUCCUGUCACUGGCGCCACCCUGCCACUUGCCCAGAGCUGUGGUAUAAAUUUUUUUAAUAGGCUGAAAUAAAAAUAUGAAUAGCAUUUUGGUAUUAAGCAUUAAAUUGAUAAAGGCUAUGAGAUACACCUGCUCUCAACCAUGUUAAUUUUUUAUUAUUGGUAUUAAUAAAUUAUUACUUACUAACAUAUUAACAAGAAUUGCAUUGAGAAACAAAGCAUCCACAGGCCAAAUCUUCUGAAUUUCAAAUGUUUAUAUUAAUGCGUUGUAUUCUAGAAAAGUAGAAUUGUCUUAAGUAGCUUUGUAAUAUAAAGUCAUCUAUCAGCCCAUUACACCUAUUAGAAUGUUUUAACCUUUAUUUCCCACUUUUUUGUUUCUAGACUGAGUGUACUUGGUCUGGUAUUUGUGGCAUAACUUACGGAACACAUAAGAAUGAUACAGAUACUAUUUAAUGAUGACCUAAUACAAGCUUAGAUAGCUAAGGUGAAAGCUUCUAUGGCCUUAACAUUUUCCUCUUGAAGAAUGUAUUUUCUGUAAUAAAAUACAGUGGCUACUUGAAAUCUAUAAACUUAUGUGAGGUCUGGAUAAAUCUGAGCAACUUUCUUCUUUGUGCUCCAGGAACCUACGCACUAUAUAUAUAAAUAAAGCUUAAG
rnacentral:lncRNA from 1 species